rnacentral:rRNA from 1 species
CUACGGGGGGCUGCAGUGGGGAAUCUUAGACAAUGGGGGAAACCCUGAUCUAGCCAUGCCGCGUGAGUGAUGAAGGCCCUAGGGUCGUAAAGCUCUUUCGCCAGGGAUGAUAAUGACAGUACCUGGUAAAGAAACCCCGGCUAACUCCGUGCUAGCAGCCGCGGUAAUACGGAGGGGGUUAGCGUUGUUCGGAAUUACUGGGCGUAAAGCGCGCGUAGGCGGAUUAGAAAGUUGGGGGUGAAAUCCCGGGGCUCAACCCCGGAACUGCCUCCAAAACUACUAGUCUAGAGUUCGAGAGAGGUGAGUGGAAUUCCGAGUGUAGAGGUGAAAUUCGUAGAUAUUCGGAGGAACACCAGUGGCGAAGGCGGCUCACUGGCUCGAUACUGACGCUGAGGUGCGAAAGUGUGGGGAGCAAACAGGAUUAGAUACCCCGGUAGUC